CGGCCCGCGUUAGAUUAGAUAGUUGGUGGGGUAAUGGCCUACCAAGUCUACGAUCUAUAGCUGGUUUGAGAGGAUGAUCAGCAACACUGGGACUGAGACACGGCCCAGACUCCUACGGGAGGCAGCAGUGGGGAAUCUUAGACAAUGGGCGCAAGCCUGAUCUAGCCAUGCCGCGUGAGUGAUGAAGGCCUUAGGGUCGUAAAGCUCUUUCGCCUGUGAAGUGACUGUAGCAGGUAAAGAAACCCCGGCUAACUCCGUGCCAGCAGCCGCGGUAAUACGGAGGGGGUUAGCGUUGUUCGGAAUUACUGGGCGUAAAGCGCGCGUAGGCGGACAUUUAAGUCAGGGGUGAAAUCCCGGGGCUCAACCCCGGAACUGCCCUUGAUACUGGGUGUCUUGAGUUCGAGAGAGGUGAGUGGAAUUCCGAGUGUAGAGGUGAAAUUCGUAGAU
rnacentral:rRNA from 1 species